UAAUACUUCAUCUCAUAUUGAUGUCAAAUCUUCAUCAAAUGUCGAAGAAAAUGUUUUGUCACGUUUGGCUAUGAUAGCAAAAUCAUAAUAACGAAACAGUUUCACUAGAUGGCGAAUAUUUAAUUAUUUAUACACAUUAGUUCAUUUUGUCCCAUAUAUAUUUUAGUAAAAGUGGCAAUAUUUUAAUAUAUUUCAUUUUCUUUCCCAUAAAUUAGGUCCACUCUUAAUUUUAUAUGGUAGAAAAGUUGUUUACAGGAAAACAUUUUAAUAUCAUUGUAAAACCACAAGCUUUUUCGGUCCACUCGGAAUCUAAAAAUGUAUACUGCCUCUGUGUUCGAUCUGAAACGAAUAGGUAUUAGAGGUGAUUGUAGUAUUUUUACUUUUGAGUCGAAUUGAUAAUUUAUAUAUUUAUUACAAUUAUUAAAUUAAUCAAAAAUAUGUAUCUUCGUCAUAAGUGUUUUAAUUACAUUAUUAAAUAGAUAUUAUAAAUACAUGCAUUUGAAAAUAUAAAUUUCUAAUUGUAUUUUUUUUUAUUUAUCUUAUGUUUAAUGACCUUUAUAAUUCGAUAACGUACUACAAGCGUGCUGGAGUAUUAUAAAAUAUAGUAUAGUAA